rnacentral:rRNA from 1 species
AUGUCAAUGGCGGACGAGCAAUACGACGCUGGGCCGCGUGGGGCGCCGCAUGGGCUGCUGUUGGCGGUGGUGGUGGGGCUGCUGGUUGGGUGGCCGCUUUUCCUAAGUGACGGCGCUGAGGCGGUCACCGAUGCCAUCGCCGGGCUGCUUGGCCCCGUGGGCCUGCUCCUCCUCCCGGUGGGGCUCCUCCUCCUCAUCCACCUCCUCUCCUGCGACCGCUCCCCCGACGUGUUCGAGUUUGCCGGCUCGCCCGACGCCGUGCACCACGUCGGGGGAUCACCCGUCGGCGUGGCGCUGAUGCUGGUCCUCAUGCUUGCCCUCCUCUACUACCGGUCCGCACUCUUCGGUGGCGGCGGAGGCGACGACGAGUAG